UGCAAAUAAAAUGUUAGUAUAACUCCCUAUGAGGUGAUUUGCCCAAACUGUCAUGAAAAGAAAAGAAAAAGAAAAACCAGCACAAAGCACAAAUCAUAAAACCUGUUCCUAUGGCCAAAUAAGCUAUGAACAGAGCUAGUAGCCACUUGAACAAGUGACUAACUGAGUAACCGGGGGUGGGUAUCACCAAUAUGCACCUUCGCGUAAAAAGGUUAGUGACUUUUUCAGGCAAGAAUAAAAAAAGUGCUGCUGAAUAAAAUAAAAUAAAAUGCUCAAAGAAGGGCAAGUCACUCUUAGAGGUUGCAUUGAGCUUAUACAAAGAGAAUAAGCAUGAAUGAAUAAAAAACCUUUCCUUUGACCAUGAUAGGUAAGGGGAAACAAGGAAAAGAGAAGAACAACCUUGGUGCAUGUAUUCUAUACUGUGAUACUUCAAUUUAGGAGUCUAGGGGGGGCUGAUUAAGUGGUACUUAGGCUCAAAAGAAAAAGGAGCUUGAUUGAAAGUUAUUUGUUGCUUGAGGACAAGCAAAAAGCUAGGUGUGGGGGUAUUUGAUCAAGCAUAAUUUAGCCACAUUUUUAUGAUCUUUAUUAUUGUUUAUUUACACAUUAUUUAGCUUAAUUUAUGAUUUUUACCUUGUUUUUACAGAAAUUGGAAAAAUGGAGAAAAAGUGCAGAAAAUGACAGAAAAGUGAUUGGGUCAGUGAUUUGCCCAAAUCACUCGAAGAAACUGGUCAAAUCACUCGCAGAGACAGAGACAGAAACUGGACUGAAUCCCAGAGAACGAUUUGCCCAGAUUGGGCAAGUGAUUUGCCCAAAUCACUCGCAGAAACUGCUCAAAUCACCUUGACAGCAGAAAUUGACAGCAGAGGCGGGAAAACAGCAGGGAACCAAAAUUCGAAUUUUCAGAAGUCCAAAUCCAACUCAAUCACUACCAACACAAUUCCAAGAGCCACGAAAGAGCUUCUCACCUAAGGAAUUCCAGUUGCAAUUAAACUCAACAUCAAAAGAGGAAUCACAAGCCAAAUUAAAAAGGGAUUUCAAAACCCUAGAAGGAUGGAAUUCUUCAGCUAUAAAAGAGCAACCUCCAAACCAGUAAGGGGCAUUUUCUGAUCAGCUACUCAGCAUCUUCUCCCCUCGCCAGAAACUCUGUAGCUUCUUUCUUUCCUUUCUUUUCAUCUUUUGUGUAUUUA
rnacentral:lncRNA from 1 species